GACGAACGCUGGCGGCGUGCUUAACACAUGCAAGUCGAACGGUGAACUCCGCUUGCGGGGGGAUCAGUGGCGAACGGGAGAGUAACACGUGGGCAACCUGCCCUCAGCUCUGGGAUAACUCUAAGCAAUUGGGGCUAAUACUGGAUAUGGCCGCUGACCGCAUGGUCUGGUGGUGGGAAGAUUUAUCGGCUGGGGAUUGGCCCGCGGUCUAUCAGCUUGUUGGUGGGUUAGUGGCCUACCACGGCGCCGACGGGUAGCCGGCCUGCGAGGGUGACCGGCCACACUGGGACUGAGACACGGCCCAGACUCCUACGGGAGGCAGCAGUGGGGAAUAUUGCGCAAUGGGCGACAGCCUGACGCAGCGACGCCGCGUGGGGGAUGACGGCCUUCGGGUUGUAAACCUCUUUCAGCAGGGACGAAGCGAAAGUGACGUUACCUGCAGAAGAAGCACCGGCCAACUACGUG
rnacentral:rRNA from 1 species